GCCUGUCUGGCUCAAUUGGUAGAGUGUGUGACUCUUGAUCUCGGGGCUGUGAGUUCCGGCCCCACGUUGGGUG
rnacentral:tRNA from 1 species